GGCUUGGUUGCUUUUGUGGUGGAUAGAUGGCGCCACGACAACAGAUCUGAAGGUUGCGUGUUCAAAUCACGUCCGGGUCA